ensembl:snRNA U6 U6 spliceosomal RNA
AUGCUUGUUUUGGCAGCACAUUUACUAAAAUUGGAACCACACAGAGAAGAUUAGCAUGGCCCCUAUGCAAAGAUGACAUGGAGAUACUGUAAGCAAUACAUAAUUUG